UAUGGUCACAUCAAGUUGAAACACCAGUUCCCAUAUGAUCACCAAAGUUAAGCAACAUUGAGCCUGGUCAGUACCUAGAUAGGUGACUGCUUGGGCAUACCAGGUGCUGUAA